CUCAACAUAGCAAUGGAAGACUCGGCUCAAAGAGCAGUGUUGUGCGCCCUCUGGUGGAUGCAAGCAGAAAGGUGUCCUUGGCAAGGGCUAUAGACACCAGCAUUGGUGAAUCAAAGGGCUGCAGGCAGAUUAAUACAUAGAAGGUAGGUGGUCCUGGGCUGCAUGAAAAAGCUGAGCAAGCCAGGAGAAAGAACAAGCCAACAAGCAACGUUCCUCCGUGGUUUCUGCCUCUGUUCCUGUUGAGUUCCUGCCUUGAUUUCCCUCAAUGAUGGGCUGUGAUGGGGACCACAUGAGUUCUCCCUCCCCCCAAGUUGCUUUUGCUCGUGGUGUGGUGUUUAUCGCAGCGACAGCAAAUUAGGACAUCCCUUAAAGUCUGAAGGAAGAAAAUGGAUGAUGCUGACCCCCGGCAGGUGACACCUCCCCACACGAGGUGUCCUCAGAAAAGCAAGAGGACAGGUCCAUCCACACAACCUGUCGAUCUCCUCGGCUCUGCUGAACCUUAUAACUAAUCUUCAACUUCAUCAGCCACGAAGUGGUUGUUACAGCCUCCUGAGUAUUAAAUGUGAACGUCAAACUUGCCGUUGGUCACAACAGAACUCCCUACAGACAGGAUGGUUUUGGCCACGCGUGCUAGUGCACACCUGAGGAGGCUGAGGCAGGGUUCCUGAUGCAAGUUUCAGGCCAGCCCGGAUUUCAUGACAAGACUGUCUCAAGACAGAGAAGCGGGGAGGUGGAAGAGGAGACAGCCCGCUUUAGCUCCUUCU